UAUUCAUUAAGUGGCUG
rnacentral:tRNA from 1 species